GAUGAACGCUGGCGGCGUGCCUAAUACAUGCAAGUCGAGCGAACGGACGAGAAGCUUGCUUUUCUGAUGUUAGCGGCGGACGGGUGAGUAACACGUGGAUAACCUACCUAUAAGACUGGGAUAACUUCGGGAAACCGGAGCUAAUACCGGAUAAUAUUUUGAACCGCAUGGUUCAAAAGUGAAAGACGGUCUUGCUGUCACUUAUAGAUGGAUCCGCGCUGCGUUAGCUAGUUGGUAGGGUAACGGCUUACCAAGGCGACGAUGCAUAGCCGACCUGAGAGGGUGAUCGCCCACACUGGAACUGGGCCACGGUCCAGACUCCUACGGGAGGCAGCAGUAGCGAAUCUUCCGCAAUGGGCGAAAGCCUGACGGAGCAACGCCGCGUGAGUGAUGAAGGUCUUCGGAUCGUAAAACUCUGUUAUUAGGGAAGAACAUAUGUGUAAGUAACUGUGCACAUCUUGACGGUACCUAAUCAGAAAGCCACGGCUAACUACGUG
rnacentral:rRNA from 1 species